rnacentral:rRNA from 1 species
GUUGGCCCAAUUGAUUGAUGGUGCUUGCACCUGAUUGAUUUUGGUCGCCAACGAGUGGCGGACGGGUGAGUAACACGUAGGUAACCUGCCCAGAAGCGGGGGACAACAUUUGGAAACAGAUGCUAAUACCGCAUAACAGCGUUGUUCGCAUGAACAACGCUUAAAAGAUGGCUUCUCGCUAUCACUUCUGGAUGGACCUGCGGUGCAUUAGCUUGUUGGUGGGGUAACGGCCUACCAAGGCGAUGAUGCAUAGCCGAGUUGAGAGACUGAUCGGCCACAAUGGGACUGAGACACGGCCCAUACUCCUACGGGAGGCAGCAGUAGGGAAUCUUCCACAAUGGGCGCAAGCCUGAUGGAGCAACACCGCGUGAGUGAAGAAGGGUUUCGGCUCGUAAAGCUCUGUUGUUAAAGAAGAACACGUAUGAGAGUAACUGUUCAUACGUUGACGGUAUUUAACCAGAAAGUCACGGCUAACUACGUGCCAGCAGCCGCGGUAAUACGUAGGUGGCAAGCGUUAUCCGGAUUUAUUGGGCGUAAAGAGAGUGCAGGCGGUUUUCUAAGUCUGAUGUGAAAGCCUUCGGCUUAACCGGAGAAGUGCAUCGGAAACUGGAUAACUUGAGUGCAGAAGAGGGUAGUGGAACUCCAUGUGUAGCGGUGGAAUGCGUAGAUAUAUGGAAGAACACCAGUGGCGAAGGCGGCUACCUGGUCUGCAACUGACGCUGAGACUCGAAAGCAUGGGUAGCGAACAGGAUUAGAUACCCUGGUAGUCCAUGCCGUAAACGAUGAGUGCUAGGUGUUGGAGGGUUUCCGCCCUUCAGUGCCGGAGCUAACGCAUUAAGCACUCCGCCUGGGGAGUACGACCGCAAGGUUGAAACUCAAAGGAAUUGACGGGGGCCCGCACAAGCGGUGGAGCAUGUGGUUUAAUUCGAAGCUACGCGAAGAACCUUACCAGGUCUUGACAUCUUGCGCCAACCCUAGAGAUAGGGCGUUUCCUUCGGGAACGCAAUGACAGGUGGUGCAUGGUCGUCGUCAGCUCGUGUCGUGAGAUGUUGGGUUAAGUCCCGCAACGAGCGCAACCCUUGUUACUAGUUGCCAGCAUUAAGUUGGGCACUCUAGUGAGACUGCCGGUGACAAACCGGAGGAAGGUGGGGACGACGUCAGAUCAUCAUGCCCCUUAUGACCUGGGCUACACACGUGCUACAAUGGACGGUACAACGAGUCGCGAACUCGCGAGGGCAAGCAAAUCUCUUAAAACCGUUCUCAGUUCGGACUGCAGGCUGCAACUCGCCUGCACGAAGUCGGAAUCGCUAGUAAUCGCGGAUCAGCAUGCCGCGGUGAAUACGUUCCCGGGCCUUGUACACACCGCCCGUCACACCAUGAGAGUUUGUAACACCCAAAGUCGGUGGGGUAACCUUUUAGGA